AAAGUUUAGUAACACCAGACCAGAUAUUUACAAACAAAGACAUAAUUCGAAACGUUAAGCAGCGAGAAUGGAGUUGCUUCGACUCUCCAAAUUUAAGCUUCAACUUCGUGCCCUAAUCGCUGAAGUUCGAGAACUCAAGGAAAGAGAACAAUCAACCAAAGAACAUCAUCAAAUCUCUAUCCAGAAACAUAAGAAAACAGAAGAAGAAUUCAGUAGAAUAAUAAAUGAAUUACAGAAGGAGUUGUCUUCAUCUCAAGAAUUACAACGUAGACUCGAAAUUCAGGUGCAGUACCUUCAGAAUGAGAAUGUGUUGUUGGAUAAUAAACAAAAAGAGUUGAAAGCAACUAUUGAUUGCUUACUUCAGUCCAGGGACAGUUUUUUGAGUCUUUAUGAGGAUUCUACAUGUGAAAUGAGACGUUCAAUUGAAGUAAGAGAUAAAAAGCUAUCUGUUUUAUCUGAGAAGAUACAAAAUCAUUUGUCGUUGUUUGAAUCCAUAGAAAAGGAAUCUAUUUCUACGAAGCAAGUCGUAGAUAAUGUGCAAAGGCUCGUAAGUGAAAAAGAGGAUGUAGUGGCUGGAUUGAAGAGGAAACUAGACCAGGUUUCAUCAUUUGAGAAGGAUUUUGUCGAAAAGAUAUGCUUGCUGGAAAAGAAGCUGAGAUCUAACAAUGAAGAGCUGAGGAGAAAGGAUACUGUUAUUUUUGAGUUAAAAGAAAAGGUGGAGGCAGCCACAACGAGUAACUACUGCCAGCCACAAAUAGAAGAACUUCAGAAAUCAUUAUCCAUGAAGGAAGGCAUUAUACAGAAUUUAAACACAGAAAAGAAGGCCUUGUUUUUCGAAGCGCGGGCCUUGGAGAUUAUCUUACAGAAGAUUCAAGAAGCUGUUAUUCACAUGAAUGCAGAGGAUCAGAAGGCAUAUUUGUCAGUAGUUAAUGCCCAGGACGAAUGUCCAACAAUGAGCGAAGAAAGGAAUGAUAGAUCAAAUGCCAUGGUUCAAGAGAGUAAAGAAGGUUCUCCAGCUAGCAACACUGGACAAGGAGCUACAGAAAAUACAGGUUCACCUCUAUGUCAGGGACCUAUUUCAGCUGUUAAGAACUCUUCACAGGAGAAACAUAAUUCGAAUUCUUCCACAUCCGAGGGUAAGUGCUCUCCAUCAGUUCAAGUUCACCAUCAACAAUUAGAGUCUGAGAGUUCAACCACUGAUGAAGGAAUAGUGGAUUAUCCAGGUUUAGUAAUUACUCAACAUUCAUCCGGGUUUAACCAUUCUUGUUCAAGCUAGAUAAUGCGGAAUGCAAUAGUUAGUAGCAUAUCAGAUAUCUCAGAAUCCAAAUCGGUCUCUAUAAGUUCAGAUCCACUGCUGCUGGUUUACAGUGUUUUAGUGGCCAGAUCUUAUGUUGUGCUGCGUAUGUGAGCAUUAUCUGGACAUCCAAGUACAUCUUCAGCUCAAGGGGUUCACUUUUUCCUUCUUUUCUUCCCCGGGUGAUUAGUGCAGAGAGAUGGGAGCUUAGGAGUUGCCACUUUGCAUUCAGGGUUCAGGGUUACUUCGUGUUUUUCGCUAAGACUAUGAAAGUUAGUAUGAUUCUUGAAUCUUGCGUUUUGGAGACCUCAUGGGCAAUGGUUGAUCUCUUUACCGAUCAAGCAUUUCUAUACUAUUGCAUGUCCGAGCAGCAAACGUUGCCUAAAACUGUUAAUAACCAAGGUAUGAAGUUGUGGUUGAAGUAAAAUGACCACGACGGGUGGUGGUUGAAAAACAUUUGAUCGCAAGCCAGGCCAGGGUCAUUUUCUUUCUACCUUUCUUUAUCUGCAAAGAAAGAAAGCUGAUGUUAUGUCCCACCUCUUGUGUCAAUAUACUAUUACACAAGUGACAGCUUUAGGUACAAGUCCCUAUUACUAGAUGUCUUUUCAUAUGAAAUACUUACGAUCUUAUUAUUUAUUUGUAUUUUUUAUUAUAAAAUUGAUAAAUUUGAUUUUCUUUGGUGGAUUUUCUUUUCGAUGUUUCACCACCGAGUACAAGGAGAGGUCGGCACAUUUGAAAACUAGAAAGAUAUUGACCGGGAUAUUUUUCUGCACACACUGUCUUUGGUCUCGUCUUCUUGCAGAAUGGGAAAAUAAAACGGAAGAAAUGAGUAUUUUAGCCGGGAAUUAUUGGCACCUUUGAUGUAUGAUUUUUUUUUUUACCCAUUAAUUUAUUUUUUUUUUGUUUUUUUUUUUUUUUUUGAGAAUAAGUGAUAUGCAUUAACCAAACCAAACAAAGAUUCAGACAACAAAGUAAGAAAUUAUUGUCCAGCUAUAGAUCAGGACAUGUCCUAUUCUGAGAUUUAGACAACAAUCUAUUGGUAAUACUAUUAUCUUCUUCCUGAUUGCUAAUAAAUAUACUUAAGAAAACUGGAAAAUCCUCCUUUGAUAACCUUGACAGGAAAAAAAAUAACUAGAGAUUAACAGUUCUGGGAUAAGCUCUCCCCAUAAUAAUCCUAGUAUUUUUGUCUAAGAUAUCAGCCACUCUAUUAUUUAUUUUUUA